rnacentral:siRNA from 1 species
CUUAGAGGGACUAUGGCCGU